UUUGUCCUACGGGGCGCAGCAGUGGGGAAUAUUGCACAAUGGGGGGAACCCUGAUGCAGCAAUGCCGCGUGAAGGAUGAAGGUUUUCGGAUUGUAAACUUCUUUUGUACGGGACGAAGAUAGUGACGGUACCGUAAGAAUAAGCCACGGCUAACUACGUGCCAGCAGCCGCGGUAAUACGUAGGUGGCAAGCGUUAUCCGGAUUUAUUGGGUGUAAAGGGCGUGUAGGCGGGAAUGCAAGUCAGAUGUGAAAACUAUGGGCUCAACCCAUAGCCUGCAUUUGAAACUGUAUUUCUUGAGUGCUGG
rnacentral:rRNA from 1 species